rnacentral:rRNA from 1 species
CUUUCGGGGGUGGUCAAUUGGUUGUUAUAUCUCCACUAAUAAGCAGAGAGGGAUAAAACUCUCAAAGUGAGUUAUGUGGGUAAGGUAUGAUGAUUAAUUGGAGUUCUAGUUCAUUUACUUUGAGAAAAUUAGAGUGUUUAAAGCAGCCUCUUGGGGCACUGAAUACAUUAGCAUGGGAUAAUAAAAUAGGAUCUUCACAAUAUAUUUUAUUGGUUUAAAUUGGAUAUGAAGAUAAUGAUUAAUAGGGACAGUUGGGGGUAUUCAUAUUGGGUGGUUAGCGGUGAAAUGCUCGGAUCCAUUCAAGAUGAACUAAAGCGAAGGCAUUUACCAAGGAUGUUUUCAUUAAUCAAGAACGAAAGUUAAGGGAUCGAAGACGAUUAGAUACCGUCGUAGUCUUAACUAUAAACUAUGCCGACCAGGGAUAUGAGUUGUUAGGAAUAUAUGAAGUAUAUUCAAUUUCUUCUUAUGGACCUUGUGAGAAAU